rnacentral:tRNA from 1 species
UGCCCCGUGGUCUAAUGGCAGGACAGCAGCCUUUGAAGCUGUUUAUUUAGGUUCGAAUCCUAACGGGGCAUCAA